rnacentral:rRNA from 1 species
AUUGAACGCUGGCGGCAGGCCUAACACAUGCAAGUCGAGCGAGCGGCGGACGGGUGAGUAAUGUCUGGGAAACUGCCUGAUGUAGGGGGAUAACUACUGGAAACGGUAGCUAAUACCGCAUACCAUCAGAUGUGCCCAGAUGGGAUUAGCUAGUAGGUGGGGUAACGGCUCACCUAGGCGACGAUCCCUAGCUGGUCUGAGAGGAUGACCAGCCAAACUGGAACUGAGACACGGUCCAGAGGCGUACGGGAGGCAGCAGUGGGGAAUAUUGGACAAUGGGCGCAAGCCUAAUGCAGCCAUGCCGCGUGUAUGAAGAAGGCCUUCGGGUUGUAAAGUACUUUCAGCGGGGAGGAGUUACCCGCAGAAGAAGCACCGGCUAAAUCCGUGCCAGCAGCCGCGGUAAUUC